rnacentral:rRNA from 1 species
AAACGUAGGAGACAAGCGUUAUCCGGAGUUACUGGGCGUAAAGGGCGUGUAGGCGGCCUUCUAAGUGGGUUGUGAAAGCGACUGGCUCAACCGGUCGAGGCCGACCCAGACUGGGAAGCUAGAGGGCGGUAGAGGGGUGUGGAAUUCCGGGUGUAGUGGUGAAAUGCGUAGAGAUCCGGAGGAACACCAGUGGCGAAAGCGAUUUUCUGGACCGAUACUGACGCUCAGACGCGAAAGCUAGGGUAGC